rnacentral:lncRNA from 1 species
UUCAGUGGGAACUCUACAGUUGGAGCACUGGGAAAGAGGCCAGGGCUGGAUUGUUGAUUGGGAAGCACCGCAAAAUCCGUGCGAUGUCUAUGGAGUCUGCGGAUCAUUUGGAGUUUGCAGCCCAUCUGAAUCUCCCAUUUGCAGCUGCUUAAGAGGAUUUACACCAAAGUCAGAUGAAGAAUGGAGCAGAGGAAACUGGACAGGGGGUUGCAUGAGACGAACCAAUUUAUCUUGCGAAGAAAACACAAGUUCCAAACCCACAAACACCGGAAAAGCAGAUAGAUUUUGGACAAUGGAUAGGAUGAAACUUCCAGAUCUUUCUGAGUAUUUGGAAAUCGACAACGACCUAUGCCAAGAAUGGUGCAUGAAUAACUGUUCCUGCAUGGGUUAUGCAAUUGUAUAUGGAAUUGGGUGUCUGGUCUGGACUGGAAACAUUACAGACAUGCAAAAGUUCCCCUUCGGUGGGGAAGAAUUCUUCAUACGGCUUGCACAUUCGGAAUUUGGUGAAAAUAUUAUUGCCCUUAAGCUGAAUUUUAAGAAUGGAUAUGAUUUUUUCCUUUUUUUUCUCACACUUCACAACCGUCGUCUUAAUUGUUUUUCUUUCCUUUUAAAAUUUCAGCUGAUGAGAGACUAAAAGAGAAGCUCAUUAUCAGCCUCACAACCAUUUCUUGCAUCAUCAUCUUGGGCAUCUUAGUGUAUGGCAUAUGCCGUAAAAGAUUUAUCAAAAUAGGUAAACCCUCUCUGUCUCUAUCUUAGUAUAUGAGUUUCUGAAAUCUUAUCACCAUAUAGGUUCACUUUUUCUUUUUCUUUCCAAGAUACCUUAAUAUGAUGGCUUGGAUGAGUUAUUUAUUUGAGUUUCGUCCUUAAAUCUCAACAAUCAGGUAAACGAAAGAGAAUUUUCAAACACUUUGACUUGGCAGGGAAUGAAACCUCAAGCGAAAUCUUAACCGGAAAUACAUUGAGAAGCCAUUUAGAACUAGAAGAUCCAUCAGAAUUACCUGUGUUUGACCUGAAUAGCAUAUUAGUCGCCACUGAUAACUUCAGCGUAACAAAUAAACUAGGGCAAGGAGGAUUUGGCCCAGUUUAUAAGGUAAGUAAUCACCCAAACUUGAAAGAAGAAGUGCUUUAUUGUUGUA